rnacentral:rRNA from 1 species
CCACAGACAACCAGGAUGUUGGCUUAGAAGCAGCCACUCAUUUAAAGAGUGCGUAAUAGCUCACUGGUCGAGUGAUCCUGCGCCGAAAAUUUCCGGGGCUAAAACCUACUACCGAAGCUACGGCAUCAUUUAUGAUGGGUAGGGGAGCUUCGUAUGCAGGCUGAAGCAUGACCGUAAGGACAUGUGGACAGUAUACGAGUGAGAAUGUUGGCAUGAGUAGCGAGACGUGGGUGAGAAUCCCACGGGCCGUAAACCCAAGGUUUCCAGGGGAAGGUUCGUCCGCCCUGGGUUAGUCGGGACCUAAGCCGAGGCCGAAAGGCGUAGGUGAUGGACAACAGGUUGAUAUUCCUGUACCGCCAAUAAGCGUUUGAGAGAUGGAGUGACACAGUAGGAUAAGCUAACCGUACUGUUGGUUAUGUACGGCUAAGCAUUGAGGCAGUCUAAAUAGGCAAAUCCGUUUGGACAAUGCUAGGAUGUGAUGGGGAAGCCCUUCGGGGCGAAGUAGCUGAUUUCAUACUGUCAAGAAAAGCUUCUAUCGAGUUUAAAGGCGCCCGUACCGUAAACCGACACAGGUGGGUGAGGAGAGUAUCCUAAGGCCAGCGAGAGAACUAUUGUUAAGGAACUCGGCAAAAUGACCCCGUAACUUAGGGAGAAGGGGUGCCUGUCUAUGACAGGCCGCAGAGAAUAGGCCCAAGCGACUGUUUACCAAAAACACAGGUUUCUGCUAAGUCGCAAGACGAUGUAUAGGAGCUGACGCCUGCCCGGUGCUGGAAGGUUAAGGGGAUCUGUUAGAGCAAUCGAAGCAGUGAACUUGAGCCCCAGUAAACGGCGGCCGUAACAAUAACGGUCCUAAGGUAGCGAAAUUCCUUGUCGGGUAAGUUCCGACCCGCACGAAAGGCGUAACGAUUUGGGCACUGUCUCAACAAUAGACUCGGUGAAAUUGUAAUCCCGGUGAAGAUGCCGGGUACCUGCGACAGGACGGAAAGACCCCAUGGAGCUUUACUGUAGCUUGACGUUGGGUCUUGGUACUACAUGUACAGGAUAGGUGGGAGACUAUGAAGCAUGGACGCCAGUCUGUGUGGAGUCAUCCUUGGGAUACCACCCUUGUAGUACUGGGAUCCUAACCAUAGGCCUUGAAUCAGGUCUUGGAACACCGUCAGGUGGGCAGUUUGACUGGGGCGGUCGCCUCCUAAAAAGUAACGGAGGCGCUCAAAGGUUUCCUCAGCACGGUCGGAAAUCGUGCGAAGAGUGUAAAGGCAAAAGGAAGCUUGAUUGCAAGACAUACAGGUCGAGCAAGGACGAAAGUCGGACUUAGUGAUCCGGUGGUACCGCAUGGAAGGGCCAUCGCUCAACGGAUAAAAGCUACCCUGGGGAUAACAGGCUUAUCUCCCCCAAGAGUCCACAUCGACGGGGAGGUUUGGCACCUGAUGUCGGCUCAUCACAUCCUGGGGCUGUAGUAGGUCCCAAGGGUUGGGCUGUUCGCCCAUUAAAGUGGUACGCGAGCUGGGUUCAGAACGUCGUGAGACAGUUCAGUCCCUAUCCGUCGCAGGCGUAGGAAAUUUGAGAAGACCUGUCCUUAGUACGAGAGGACCGGGAUG